UGAGUUCAAAACACGCACUGA
rnacentral:miRNA from 1 species